rnacentral:rRNA from 1 species
ACUCCUACGGGAGGCAGCAGUGGGGAAUAUUGCACAAUGGCGCAAGCCUGAUGCAGCCAUGCCGCGUGUGUGAAGAAGGCCUUCGGGUUGUAAAGCACUUUCAGUCGUGAGGAAGGUGGAGUCGUUAAUAGCGUGCUCGUUUGACGUUAGCUGCAGAAGAAGCACCGGCUAACUCCGUGCCAGCAGCCGCGGUAAUACGGAGGGUGCGAGCGUUAAUCGGAAUUACUGGGCGUAAAGCGCAUGCAGGUGGUUUGUUAAGUCAGAUGUGAAAGCCCGGGGCUUAACCUCGGAAUUGCAUUUGAAACUGGCAGACUAGAGUACUGUAGAGGGGGGUAGAAUUUCAGGUGUAGCGGUGAAAUGCGUAGAGAUCUGAAGGAAUACCGGUGGCGAAGGCGGCCCCCUGGACAGAUACUGACACUCAGAUGCGAAAGCGUGGGAGCAAACAGGAUUAGAUACCCUGGUAGGUGA